CUCCAGACUCCUACGGGAGGCAGCAGUGAGGAAUAUUGGUCAAUGGGCGCGAGCCUGAACCAGCCAAGUCGCGUGAGGGAUGACGGCCCUACGGGUUGUAAACCUCUUUUGUCAGGGAGCAAUUGGCGCUACGUGUAGCGUUAUCGAGAGUACCUGAAGAAAAAGCAUCGGCUAACUCCGUGCCAGCAGCCGCGGUAAUACGGAGGAUGCGAGCGUUAUCCGGAUUUAUUGGGUUUAAAGGGUGCGUAGGCGGAAUGCCAAGUCAGCGGUAAAAUCGCGGGGCUCAACCUCGCUCCGCCGUUGAAACUGGCGUUCUUGAGUGGGCGAGAAGUAUGCGGAAUGCGUGGUGUAGCGGUGAAAUGCAUAGAUAUCACGCAGAGCUCCGAUUGCGAAGGCAGCAUACCGGCGCCCAACUGACGCUGAAGCACGAAAGCGUGGGUAUCGAACAGGAUUAGAUACCCCCGUA
rnacentral:rRNA from 1 species